rnacentral:tRNA from 1 species
GCCUCAAUGGCUCAGUCGGUUAAGCAUCUGACUUCAGCUCAGGUCAUGAUCUCACAGUUUGUGGGUUUGAGCCCCAUGUCGGGCU